CUCGCCGGAAGACCAAGGGUUCCUGUCCAACGUUAAUCGGGGCAGGGUGAGUCGACCCCUAAGGCGAGGCCGAAAGGCGUAGUCGAUGGGAAACAGGUUAAUAUUCCUGUACUUGGUGUUACUGCGAAGGGGGGACGGAGAAGGCUAUGUUGGCCGGGCGACGGUUGUCCCGGUUUAAGCGUGUAGGCUGGUUUUCCAGGCAAAUCCGGAAAAUCAAGGCUGAGGCGUGAUGACGAGGCACUACGGUGCUGAAGCAACAAAUGCCCUGCUUCCAGGAAAAGCCUCUAAGCAUCAGGUAACAUCAAAUCGUACCCCAAACCGACACAGGUGGUCAGGUAGAGAAUACCAAGGCGCUUGAGAGAACUCGGGUGAAGGAACUAGGCAAAAUGGUGCCGUAACUUCGGGAGAA
rnacentral:rRNA from 1 species